rnacentral:misc_RNA from 1 species
GUUCUUGUGUCUUUAAUCUCACAAUUAGCUUCAGCAGUAGCAUCAAUACCAAGCAUUUUAAGCAAAGCUUCAGUAUCAUCUUUCUGCUCAUCAUCUUUCAUUUCAGAUUCCUCUUCUAACUCGUCAAGAGCACCAUCAGUCUCUGUUAUAUUUUCUAUAGCUUCAUUCUUUUCUUUACCUUUAGAUGACGGUUCUGACCAACCAGUCCAACCACCCUUU